GAUUUUGAUAAUGCCCUUACACCAUUACUCAUGGGCAUUACAGGGGCAUGAAGAGUGAGGGGCAUUUCUAUAAUAAUGCCCAAAGAGAAGAAAAAUAAUGGAAAGUAAUAAAUGAAAUGGGCAUUAACCAUUACACCUUUUUUAAAAGGGCAUUAUGAUGAUGAUGUGGUGAAAAAUACCCCUUAGUGGGCAUUAACCAUUACCUAUGGUCUAAAGAGUAAUGUUAUUGCAUAGUUGCACACUAUCUAAACUAGAUCAAAGUGAUAAUUUUUUGUUUAUUUACUAAGUUCCGAAAGAUGAACUAUUUUUUUGUGAAAAAAAAUAGACCGAAAUUCUUUACAUGAAUACGUUGACAUAAAUAUAGAAGACUAACAUUAUCGGAUCUCAUUUAUGAGGUUAAAAAUUAUAACACAAAGUUAGAUAUAUACAAAUACAAGCUUUUGGCGAACGUUUUAGUGAGGUAACUACCAAACUACUUAGAUGUAGUAGCUUGAGCCCAUGGCGAACGUUUUAGUGAGGUAACUACCAAACUACUUAGAUGUAGUAGCUUGAGCCCAGAUGAUAAGUUUAGUGCGUAUAAUGUUUAAAAGAUGUUAAGGUUGACAGAGUUAUAUCUGUUUGAUCUUUGUACGGAACAACUUUAAAUAUUUGUAAUGUUUUUUUUUCAUUUCGAAUGACAUCGUAUCGUUUUUUAUUGUGUGUUUUCUAAUGAGGAAUGAUCAUAUCGUUUUAUUUGAUAUCGUAUUUUAUUAUGUUUGUCGCCCUGCCCCCACCCCAACGAUGAUCGACCCGAAAAUCUAACGUUUUGUUGUGAAAAAUCUUAACACUGAAAAGGGGACCCCGGUGUAAAAAAAUUCUGGUUACGCCACUGUAUGUAUGUAUGUAUGUAUGUAUGUAUGUAUGUAUGUAUGUAUGUAUGUAUAUAUAUAUAUAACCGAGUGUUAGUGUGUGUAUGUAUUACCUCAUGAUAGAUGAUAAAUUGAUCCCCCCAAAGAUCGGGAUGAAAAUUUGCAGUUGGUCGAAUAACCUCCUCUUGUUGUGUUAAAGGCAUCCUAUGUGUAUGAUGUGGAUGUGAAGAAGAGAAUUUGAGGAUACAUAUAAAGAUGAGUUUUAAGGGGUAUAUAUAGAGGGAUGAGAUGCGCACUUAUCAGGGCCACUGCUAUAUGGGAGAUUUAAAGCCCGAAAGGAAUAUUUCUUUUUAUUUUUUUGACUUUUAGUUUAAUUAAUUUUUUUUUUUGUAUUGGAUUAUUGGUGACAAUUUGUGUUACAUGAUAACCGGUUUUUCUUUAAUUCGGUUUUUGUGUCGUAUGUUUUCGGUUCGGUUACGGUUUCACUCCUAA
rnacentral:lncRNA from 1 species